rnacentral:rRNA from 1 species
AGAGUUUGUCCUGGCUCAGGAUGAACGCUAGCGGCAGGCCUAAUACAUGCAAGUCGAACGGUCAGUAGCAAUACUGAUAGUGGCGCACGGGUGCGUAACGCGUAACCAACCUACCCGAAUCUGGGGGAUAGCCCGCCGAAAGGCGGAUUAAUACCGCAUAAAACUGCAGGACGGCAUCGUGUAACAGUUAAAGAUUUAUUGGAUUCGGAUGGGGUUGCGUGCCAUUAGCUAGUUGGGGAGGUAACGGCUCACCAAGGCGACGAUGGCUAGGGGAGCUGAGAGGCUGGUCCCCCACACGGGCACUGAGAUACGGGCCCGACUCCUACGGGAGGCAGCAGUAGGGAAUAUUGGGCAAUGGCCGAGAGGCUGACCCAGCCAUGCCGCGUGCAGGAAGACAGCCCUAUGGGUCGUAAACUGCUUUUAUACCGGAAUAAACCCCUUUACGUGUAAAGGGUUGAAUGUACGGUAGGAAUAAGGAUCGGCUAACUCCGUGCCAGCAGCCGCGGUAAUACGGAGGAUCCAAGCGUUAUCCGGAUUUAUUGGGUUUAAAGGGUGCGUAGGCGGCCUGUUAAGUCAGGGGUGAAAUUUUCCGGCUCAACCGGGACAUUGCCUU